rfam:Myxococcus stipitatus DSM 14675, complete genome.
GUGCUCAACGCCCUCCGGCAUCACGGCGAGCGGCGGAC